GACGAACGCUGGCGGCGUGCCUAAUACAUGCAAGUAGAACGCUGAAGAGCGGAGCUUGCUCUUCUUGGAUGAGUUGCGAACGGGUGAGUAACGCGUAGGUAACCUGCCUUGUAGCGGGGGAUAACUAUUGGAAACGAUAGCUAAUACCGCAUAACAAUGGAUGACACAUGUCAUUUAUUUGAAAGGGGCAAUUGCUCCACUACAAGAUGGACCUGCGUUGUAUUAGCUAGUAGGUGAGGUAAUGGCUCACCUAGGCGACGAUACAUAGCCGACCUGAGAGGGUGAUCGGCCACACUGGGACUGAGACACGGCCCAGACUCCUACGGGAGGCAGCAGUAGGGAAUCUUCGGCAAUGGGGGCAACCCUGACCGAGCAACGCCGCGUGAGUGAAGAAGGUUUUCGGAUCGUAAAGCUCUGUUGUAAGUCAAGAACGGGUGUGAGAGUGGAAAGUUCACACUGUGACGGUAGCUUACCAGAAAGGGACGGCUAACUACGUG
rnacentral:rRNA from 1 species